rnacentral:rRNA from 1 species
AUUGAACGCUGGCGGCAUGCCUUACACAUGCAAGUCGAACGGCAGCACGGGAGCAAUCCUGGUGGCGAGUGGCGAACGGGUGAGUAAUAUAUCGGAACGUGCCCAGUCGUGGGGGAUAACGUAGCGAAAGCUACGCUAAUACCGCAUACGAUCUAUGGAUGAAAGCGGGGGAUCGCAAGACCUCGCGCGAUUGGAGCGGCCGAUAUCAGAUUAGGUAGUUGGUGAGGUAAAGGCUCACCAAGCCGACGAUCUGUAGCUGGUCUGAGAGGACGACCAGCCACACUGGGACUGAGACACGGCCCAGACUCCUACGGGAGGCAGCAGUGGGGAAUUUUGGACAAUGGGCGCAAGCCUGAUCCAGCAAUGCCGCGUGCAGGCUGAAGGCCUUCGGGUUGUAAACUGCUUUUGUACGGAACGAAACGGCGAGCUCUAAUACAGUUUGCUAAUGACGGUACCGUAAGAAUAAGCACCGGCUAACUACGUGCCAGCCGCCGCCGUAAGAC